rnacentral:misc_RNA from 1 species
GAUUAAGAACGCAGCGAAAUGAGAUAAGUAGUGUGAAUUGCAGAAUUCAGUGAAUCAUCGAAUCUUUGAACGCACAUUGCGCCCCUUGGUAUUCCAUGGGGCAUGCCUGUUCGAGCGUCAUUUGUACCUUCAAGCUCUGCUUGGUGUUGGGUGUUUGUCUCGCCUCUGCGUGUAGACUCGCCUCAAAACAAUUGGCAGCCGGCGUAUUGAUUUCGGAGCGCAGUACAUCUCGCGCUUUGCACUCAUAACGACGACGUCCAAAAGUACAUUUUUACACUCUUGACCUCGGAUCAGGUAGGGAUACCCGCUGAACUUAAGCAUAUCAAUAAGCGGAGGA